AGCAUGUGAAGUUUUAUUGAUAAAAUGCUGUAAGGACGGCAUUACUUGUGUACAUUAGCAUCGUUAUGUGCUAAAGUAUUGGUGUUAAUAUGGAAUACAAAAUGAAAUGUAAAAGGGUCCCUGUGUUCAACACGAUGUUCAGCGAGCUACGUCAUCACCCUGGCUUUCAAAUGAGACUGGACGUGACAGACCCUGUUCCCAAGUUCAUUUCCAGACAAAGGAGAGGUUAGGCAGAUCAACACAGGGAACAACUGAUAAGAUAUACAAAAUUCAACUAUGACCCCAGUGUGCAAGUUCCUUCCAAGGAAUAUUCCUCAGCACAUGUCCGCGGUUCAGACAGAUUUAAAUUCUUCAGAAGGUGAUAAAGUAGUAUUAGACUAAAAGAAUUGCAAGUGUGUUAGUUCAGGGCUUGCAAUAAGACAAGUAGUGAAAUCAGUUACCAUACUCGCAAGUUUCUCUGUAUUUGUCAUCAUGUCACAUCCUUGAAAACGAUAUAAUUAUGAACCGAUAUAAAAGUCAGAAAAAACACACCAAACACAGCCCUAGUCGCAAAACAAACAUCACAAUUUUCUUUUAAUAAAAUGUUUAGCUAAUGUAUGCCAUGGAUAGAUGUACGACCAGAUUGUAUAAGGGCCCGAUGUGAAAUUUAUGAAGAUGCUAACAUGAUUGAUGAAUGUGUUUUAUCUAGUUAUGUGAGAAAACAUUUUAUCUCAUGCUACAUCUUGUUUUCUAUGCAAUAUCACUAAUAUUACAAUUGUUUCUCUUAAGCACGUGUAAUAUAGAUUUUGCGCGUAUGCAUUGGCUACAAUUUUAUUUGAUUGACCAAUCGCAUUACGUUAUCAUUCUGCAAUGCCGUUUCAACUUCAAGUAAAGUUACAAAAUGAAAGCAACUUUCCGGUUUAUAAUGAAGAAUACGUAAAGGCCCAGUCUCACUAUGAUGCCGGCGGAGCCCCGGUGCGUGAUCCGGCAUCUACCGGGAUGAACCGGGGCUCUACCGUGAUGAACUGUGGCUCUCCCGGGAUGAACCGGGGACAACCGGGGCUCCACCGGGAAAGUAUUUA